rnacentral:rRNA from 1 species
ACCUCCCUCUUUCUUCAUGCCUAACACAUGCAAGUCGAACGAGACCUUCGGGUCUAGUGGCGCACGGGUGCGUAACGCGUGGGAACCUGCCCUUAGGUUCGGAAUAACUCCCCGAAAGGGGUGCUAAUACCGGAUAAUGUCUUCGGACCAAAGAUUUAUCGCCUUUGGAUGGGCCCGCGUUGGAUUAGCUAGUUGGUAGGGUAAAAGCCUACCAAGGCGACGAUCCAUAGCUGGUCUGAGAGGAUGAUCAGCCACACUGGGACUGAGACACGGCCCAGACUCCUACGGGAGGCAGCAGUGGGGAAUAUUGUACAAUGGGCGAAAGCCUGAUCCAGCAAUGCCGCGUGAGUGAUGAAGGCCUUAGGGUUGUAAAGCUCUUUUACCCGGGAUGAUAAUGACAGUACCGGGAGAAUAAGCUCCGGCUAACUCCGUG